UUCCUACGGGUGGCAGCAGCUAAGAAUAUUCCGCAAUGGACGAAAGUCUGACGGAGCGACGCCGCGUGGAUGAAGAAGGCCGAAAGGUUGUAAAAUCCUUUUGUCGGGGAAGAAUAAGCCUGGGAGGGAAUGCCCGGGUGAUGACAUGAACCGGCGAAUAAGCCCCGGCUAACUACGUGCCAGCAGCCGCGGUAACACGUAGGGGGCGAGCGUUGUUCGGAAUUACUGGGCGUAAAGGGCAUGUAGGCGGUUUUGUAAGCCUGGCGUGAAAUUCUGCAGCUUAACUGUAGGACUUCGCUGGGAACUGCGAGACUGGAGUCACGGAGAGGGAGCCAGAAUUCCAGGUGUAGGGGUGAAAUCUGUAGAUAUCUGGAAGAAUACCAAUGGCGAAGGCAGGCUUCUGGCCGAUGACUGACGCUGAGGUGCGAAAGCGUGGGUAGCAAACAGGAUUAGAUACCCCGGUAGUCC
rnacentral:rRNA from 1 species